UUAAUACUCCCUCCGUCUAGAAAUACUUGUCAUGGAAAUGGAUGUAACUAGAUGUAUUUUAGUUCUAGAUACAUCCAUUUUCAUACAUUUAUGCGACAAGUAAUUACGAACGGAAGGAGUAUUUU
rnacentral:pre_miRNA from 1 species